rnacentral:rRNA from 1 species
AACGAACGCUGGCGGCAGGCUUAACACAUGCAAGUCGAACGGGCGUAGCAAUACGUCAGUGGCAGACGGGUGAGUAACACGUGGGAACCUUCCUAGGGGUACGGAACAACUCAGGGAAACUUGAGCUAAUACCGUAUACGUCCGUGAGGAGAAAGAUUUAUCGCCCUUAGACGGGCCCGCGUCGGAUUAGCUAGUUGGUGGGGUAACGGCCUACCAAGGCGACGAUCCGUAGCUGAUCUUAGAGGAUGAUCAGCCACACUGGGACUGAGACACGGCCCAGACUCCUACGGGAGGCAGCAGUGGGGAAUUUUGGACAAUGGGGGCAACCCUGAUCCAGCCAUGCCGCGUGAGUGAAGAGGGCCUC